rnacentral:rRNA from 1 species
GUAUAUUAAAGUUGUUGCAGUUAAAAAGCUCGUAGUUGGAUUUCUGUUAAUAAUUUAUAUAAAAUAUUUUGAUGAAUAUUUAUAUAAUAUUAACAUAAUUCAUAUUACUAUUUUUUUUUUUAGUAUAUGAAAUUUUACUUUGAGAAAAUUAGAGUGCUUAAAGCAGGCAUAUGCCUUGAAUACUCCAGCAUGGAAUAAUAUUAAAGAUUUUUAUCUUUUUUAUUGGUUCUAAGAUAAGAAUAAUGAUUAAUAGGGACAGUUGGGGGCAUUUGUAUUUAACAGUCAGAGGUGAAAUUCUUAGAUUUGUUAAAGACAAACUAAUGCGAAAGCAUUU